AUUGAACGCUGGCGGCAGGCCUAACACAUGCAAGUCGAACGGUAACAGGAAGCAGCUUGCUGCUUCGCUGACGAGUGGCGGACGGGUGAGUAAUGUCUGGGAAACUGCCUGAUGGAGGGGGAUAACUACUGGAAACGGUAGCUAAUACCGCAUAACGUCGCAAGACCAAAGAGGGGGACCUUAGGGCCUCUUGCCAUCGGAUGUGCCCAGAUGGGAUUAGCAAGUAGGUGGGGUAACGGCUCACCUAGGCGACGAUCCCUAGCUGGUCUGAGAGGGUGACCAGCCACACUGGACCUGAGACACGGUCCAGACCCCUACGGGAGGCAGCAGUGGGGAAUAUUGCACAAUGGGCGCAAGCCUGAUGCAGCCAGGCCGCGUGUAUGAAGAAGGCCUUCGGGUUGUAAAGUACUUUCAGCGGGGAGGAAGGGAGUAAAGUUAAUACCUUUGCUCAUUGACGUUACCCGCAGAAGAAGCACCGGCUAACUCCGU
rnacentral:rRNA from 1 species